rnacentral:lncRNA from 1 species
AAAAUCAGGAACAUGCUUCCUAUAUUUCUUCAUCUCACAUGAAAUUUGAGACACAAAAGCAUAUAUAGAGAGAGGGAGAGAUUACCCUGUAACUUAAUUAAUCAUCUCAGAUCUUGGUGAAGAUCUGUGUGUUGUGCUACUGGGAGCCACUAUAUGAGAUUCAAAGCUUUGAAUCAUUGAGCUCAAGUGCCAAGUGGCUAAUCCAUUUCUACUUUCGUCCAUACAUACAUUCCUUUUUACAAAAUACAUAGAGGAAUAAAAGUUUUUGGUUAGAGUAUGAAUUCAUAAGACAACAAACACAAAGGCUUAAAUAAAAAUAAAAAACAAUUCUCACCAUGAAAGAGAAACCAUAAUUGGAACAGGGCCCAAAACAGAAGAGAAACCUUAACUAUCCAGAAGCUUUUAUUUUGCUUCCAAACCUGAAAGACAAAAACAAAGGGCAAACCAAUAACUUCAGCAACAAAAUAGAGGAUAAAUUGGUCAUUUUAGACAAUAAUCUAUAGCAUACCGACAUGAUAGGCCAAAUUGGUUGCUUUAGACGAUAAAAUGAAAGGAAGAUUUUUCACCCAGGCCUAUCAAAAACAUCAAACUGGUGAUCCUUUUGAUUUUUAGUAGUCACAUGUUGGUGAAUCACAUGCUUAGCUUUUAAGUCUUGAGAAUCAAUAACACUUGUAUAAAUUUCAAGUACUAAUUUCUUAUUUCAAGCAAGUAUGUAUGGAACAGCAUGCCAAUCACAUUACAUCAUUAAUAUUUAAAGAAAUGCAAUUCAUUUUAGCAAUUAUGCCCAUUUGGCACAAUGUUGUUCUUUUGAUGGAUAGUUGUCAACAAAUCCCUAUGACCCUUAAUCCCAUUUCCACUUGAAAUCGCCAUCCAUGAUUUCGAUUCCUUACCACAAAUGAUCUCAUCAUCCACAGGAAGUGCUCUUCCUGGAGUCUCACCUAAGCCACCAACCCCUGGAAUCAAUCCUCCAAGCAUGGCUGCAGUCCAAGAGCCCCUAUGAGGCCCAAUUCCGUUUUCCGGUGGAAUUCUUGUUGCCGGAUUCCAUGAAUUACUGUUUUCGUAAUGAGGGAGUGGAAAACCUCUCCCAUAGUUCAUUCUGGAUUUCACCUGAUUACUGAAAAUUUGAAAACUUUAACCCGUUUCUGUCUCUAUUAACCCUAAUUGAAGAAUUCUUGAGACCUGAAGAGUGGUGUGAAUUGGGAUUGCAAUUCAAGAACCCUAAUUCCCAUUCCUUGCUAACCUGCCAAAAACCCCCCAAAUGCAUUUUCUCAUAGAAAUGAUCUUACACCUAACAUAUACAAUUGAAUAACAAUUACAGAUAGUUAUGGUUAAUAGCUAUGAGAAUCAAAACAGAAAUAGCAUGCAAGCAAUUAAUUCCAACAAAAACUGAUAAAAUUAAUUUAUAAAAAUCCCAGGUAGCUUUGCUUAUCAGCAAACAAUUUGCCAUAAAAAAUCCAAGAAAAAACAUGAGAGAGAAAGAAGAGGUAAUUCAAUCGAAACAACCAAAUUGAAAACAGCAUAAUUGGUAAAUCUGAGUAAAUUUAGAGGAUUUAAUUCCAAAUAUUGUAAAAUGGGGGUUUCAAUUUUUAUUACAAAAAUCGGAUUAAAACCCCACAAAAUCCGAGUAGAAUCCCGCUGGUGGAAAAUGUGAAUCACACCUACUUCUUUGGGGUUUUGUUGCAAAAAACAUUAAAUGGAGAGAAAAAAUGCAAUGUAUCAGAAAGAAUCGGUAAAAUCAUGUAUCAGGUGAAGCUCAGCUCACCGAUCUCUGGCUCCGCCAUCUACGGUGGUGUAAUUCGCCGGAGAACAGGUCAAUGUCUGAUGUUAUAGAGAAAUAACAUUAUCAAAACCUAAUGUUAUAGAGAAAUACAUAUUAAAGUGUGAAGGUGGUGUCAAAACCCAAUUUUCAUAAAGAAGUACAGACUGAAGUGUGAAGGUGGUGUGUGUCUGUAUUUCUUGAAACCAGAGAGAGAGAGAAAGAGAGAGAGAGAGAGAGAGAGAGAGAGAGAGAGAGAGAGAGAUGGGAAUAUCUAUGGAGGUGAAAGCGAUAGUUGGUGGUGUCGUUGGAUUCCAUUUGUUGAAACCCUUGCACAUGAAGCCCAAAAAAGCAAAAAUUAGAGUCUGAAUAAAAAGUGAUUCAAAACAAACAUUAGACAUAUUCCAAGAAGGCAAGAACAAAUAGGUAUAAGAGAGAAACCUGGAUGGGCCGAGAUUCUGUGGUUUAUAGCUAAGAUUUAGAUCUGGGGUUUCUUGGGUUUCUUAGAGAGAAUGGAGUGGUGUGUGGAGUUGACUGGAACAGAUAAAGAUAAGUGAAAGAAAGAAGGUGAGCAAAAACUUACAUGAAAUCUUAUCUGGAGGGUGGCUACCAUAAUAGAUGGAACUGAUGAAGGUGUCGUCUUCAUCGGAGUACUGAAAAAACAGUUAAAACACACAGAUGAAAUCAAUGAAAUCGAUGAGCGUGGUCGUCAUAGUGAAGGAGGUGUAUGUGGUGAUUGUGGUAAUGGGGCACCGGUAAGUGAAGAAAGAAGGAAAAGAGUGCUUCUGUUGUGGAGAUGGUAUUUAGGGUUUCCAGGUAUCUAGAGAGAAAAUUUGAGUAUUCAAAUUUUGAAAUGAAAAGGGUGAACGAAGGAAAAGGUAUCCGAGAUGGUCAUGAGUGUCCG